rfam:Aedes albopictus isolate Foshan contig7683, whole genome shotgun sequence.
UGUUAUGUGGCUUAGUUGGUUAAAGCGCCGGUCUAGCGUAUACGGAGUCGUGGGUUCGAACCCCAUCAGAACGC